UACGGAGGGUGCAAGCGUUAUCCGGAAUCAUUGGGUUUAAAGGGUCCGCAGGCGGAUUUAUAAGUCAGUGGUGAAAGCCUACAGCUCAACUGUAGAACUGCCAUUGAUACUGUAAGUCUUGAAUUUGGUCGAAGUGGGCGGAAUAUGACAUGUAGCGGUGAAAUGCUUAGAUAUGUCAUAGAACACCGAUAGCGAAGGCAGCUCACUAGGCCAACAUUGACGCUCAUGGACGAAAGCGUGGGGAGCAAAC
rnacentral:rRNA from 1 species